CCUCCCUCUCUCUCUCUUUCUCUCUCUCUCUCUUCCUUCCUUUCUUUCUCUUUCUUUUCUUUUCUUUUCCUUUCUUUUCUUUCCCCACCUCCUGGUUCAAGUGAUUCUCCUGGCUCAAUCUCCUGAGUAGCUGGGAUUACAAGUGUGUAUCACCAUGCCCAGCUAAUUUUUUAAUAUUUUUAGCAGAGACGGGGUUUCACCGUGUUGGCCAGGCUAGUCUCAAACUCCUGACCUCAAAUGAUACCCCUGUCUCAGCCUCCCAAAGUGCAGGAUUACAGGUGUGAGCCACUGUGCCUGGCCUCACCUGGCCUUUUGAUAGUUCUUUUUGUGCCCUAACCCACGUGUCCUAGUAAACACCUAUGUAGCCUUUGGCUCAUAGCUGAAUUUCCACUUCUUCUGAGAAGCAUUCCUUGACUUGGAGUCCUAGUCAGGUACCAGAGUUAGAAGCUUUCAUAGCACUCCAGCCCUUAGCUUUGUAAAACUGAUCGCAGUUUGUAACUAUGUGCCUAUCUAUGAUUAUUUGAUUAUGGGCUACUUCCUUCCUUCAGGGGGCAGUGACUCCUGUGGGAGCUGGGGCUGUAUCUGCUUGUGCUCCCUGUGUUUUUGUCGUUUUUAUUUUUUUUUUGGAUUAGACAUUUAGAAUGUUCAGUGGCAACAGGCAACCCCACGUGUGCAUCAUAAUAACUAAGGUUAGAUGUGGUGUUAGGGUUGGGCUGAGGCAAGGAAACUGCGAUCCUGAGAAAUCCAUCAAGGAGAUGAGUGCCAUUUUGAAGCUCCCCUUGUGAGACAGCUGGUUGGCCUUCUUAAAUCUGUCUGUCUUAACUGUGCAUGGUGCACCUUCCUAUCAGAAACUACUGCAUUGAUCACUUGCAUCUUUCUUCACUGUCUCUUCUUCCUCCUGGUCAUCCAUGACUCUUGCUUUUUUGGUCCUCCUCCUAUGUCUGAUGGUUCUUUCAUUAACUUCUUUCUAUGCUAACUCUUAGUUCUUACAUCUCUGAAGCAGCAUGUUUAU
rnacentral:lncRNA from 1 species